rnacentral:lncRNA from 1 species
UAUUAUCAUACUAGAUUAUCAUGGCUGUCUUUCUAUCCUGUCUUGGUUUCACGGUUUAUCCUAUGCCGGCAGCAUAGAGCCUAACUAAAUAAUAAUGCAUGCCGUCAGCGCUACAAUAGCAAAAACAUAAUAUAGAACUUGACAGGUAGCGAACACCGAUGCUUGCGCUGGCAGUGGCGCGGGCUUUCUUUGUUGAGUAAUGUCACGUUACUAUAGUGACCAUAAUUGUAAAAUCGUAGAAGACACAAAAACGACAGUCAAUUAUUUAAUUGCACCGUUCCUGCGGUAAAAUGCCCCGAAGCAACCAACAUUGUUACAGGUACCAUUUAUUGGUAUUAGCUGACACAGGUUCGGACCUUAGGAGCUAAAAUGCUUUAACAGCGAUAUAGCAGCAAUCGUCAAAUACCUCAGUUCCGUCUAGCAUUCAGAGAAAACAACAACGAUAAAAACAACAAAAUAAUCCUAUUAAAUUAGAGACAACGAUUUUAUAAUUUCCACUUGUAGACCGCCGGCCGUGUUGUAAUAAGGAUUUACGACAGAAAAAAAAAUGGGAACAGUGACAUUGUAACCAUCGGCCGGAAGUACCACCUACAAAUAGUUUGGUUACGGAAAAGCUGCCAAAACUAGAUUUGUUUUAGUGAGAUCCGGUAAUCUACAGGCGAAGAUGAGCUAUCUACAAGCGGAUCAAAAAUCAAUGAUACUUUAGAUGUAUUGAGUCGGGUGCUAUCACCUGGGUGUGAAGCGUCGAUUUUUCAGGAAACCACCAUACUAAAUUAAAAAGAGUCGGAAUGCUGAAAUUGAUUGGCGAGGCAGUAACGACAAGAUCAUAAGACACUACGGGUGUACAGUUCUACUCGCACAAACAGUCUUCAGACUUGGAUUGCGAUUGCCUGGAUGUGUCCAUCGAAUCACGAUUCGAAAUAUGUUUCGUUUCGUUUUGUCUUGUUGGGUUGCAACACAUUGAAGAUAAUGCCUGUCUGAUUCAACUUGGCCCCGGCCGGCGAUACGAAAAGGGUUUUUUGCUUCUACUUCAGAUAUAAUUAACUAGCGUCUCCUAAAUCAAGCAUGACAAAGACUAGAUAAACGAUCAGCGUUCUGCUAUUAAAAAA